ensembl:lncRNA
AUGAAAAAAUGGGUGGAAAAACAAAAUUGUUGCAUUUAUAAUUUUGUUCAGUGUAUUUCAAAUAUCAUAUAUUUCAAAAGCAUUGAAAACAGUUUGUUUUUCCAUGUAAUUUUUUUUUUUUUUUUAUCACUAAAUAUGUUUUCGGGUUUUUUUUAAAGUAACGACCAAGCGGCCAGCGUUAGACAGUGAGCAUAUGUUUGAUCAAUGUACCCUUCUCAAAUCAUCACGACUUGCCUAAAAUAAAAUCUAUAGAUAUAAAACAGUUCAAGCAUAUAACAAUGUUUAAACGUUAGAUCCAGAUAAAUGUGCGCUAUAUCCAAUAGUUUGUGCGGAGAUGCUUCAGGACAUGGAGACACCAGCUCAGUGGAUACGCUGUAAUUUUUGCUCAAAGUUAAGAGUAAUAGGGGAGUGCGGGGCACAAAGUAUCGCGGGGUUAGUUGUAACACACGUGGUUUGAAUAUUUCCACACAUGCUAACAUAACAAAAUUUACAGCAUUUAUUAGUUAGGGCUCCAAGCUCGGGAAUGGCCCGAACCUAGAGUACACCCUCCCCCCGUAUAGUUGUAAAAUGAACUCAAAGUGAGGAGAUGUGGUGGAGGAGGGAUGCUGAUAAACCAUCAAUAGAUAGAGGUAAGUAAGCUAUAUUUAUGCUAUGGUGUUGAUUAACUUGGUUGUGUUCCACCGGUGUUGAUUAGGCUAAGUAUCUGAUGCGCUCCUCCCGAACCUUGUUAGUAAAACAUCAUUUAAAAUGAGACAUAUCUGCUAUUAUUUUAAUCUCCAAUCUGUUAUUUAUCAGUUCAGAUAAUUUUUUAAUGCUUUGAUAACUAGCAGAGGACUAUAAAAAAAAUGAAAACACGGCUACUUGCCACCGUAAGUAAAUAAUUAAAUGCAAAAUAUUGAUUUGAGUUUAAAUAUUUGAACGCAAAGCUUCUAUAAAGACAGCAGUUGCGAGCAAACGGCUAAUUCAAACUAAAUGGACAUUUAAGGGAAAUGGUGCAGUCAAACCAUGUAUUACACAACAUUUCACCUCAAAAUAAUUAAGGCAAUAAAAGAAUUAAGACUAAAAUGUUUUAAAACCUUAGCAGUUUGUUAGUUCUCUUAUAAUCCAUUACAGCGUACAAAACAAUCGUAGCAAAAUGGCAGCAGCUGCGUUUGUAUGAAACGAGAGUGAGUCGGCGAUACCAGGAUGACAUAAUUAAACAAUUGUACACCAUUUUGAUUCAAGUUUAAAUAUUUUAUUAGCUAAACAAACGCAAGCUUCCAACAAGAAAAAAAUAGUUCAAGCAAGAGUACAGCGCCGACCGCUGUUACCCGGAUGAGCCUGUGUUAUUAGCUAUUACAGGUUGUUAUCCAGGGAUAGCAUACCUCGGAAUGUCGCGACUGUAUAUAUAUAUAUAGUCUGGACAUCCACUGGGAAGAAAAUACAGAGACUGGACCUCUUGGAACU